CGGCCGCGUACCGCUUGCCGCCGGGCCCGGGCUGCCCGUGUGCAGCUUGAGCUGCCCUGCGGCUUCACUUCUCUGCUUCUCGCUCACCUCCGGCAUCUUUCUGGCGGGGUUUGGGGUUCUGUGUAUUCGUUGUCUCUUCUAAACCAACCGCUACUCUCAGUUGCAUUGUGAAUAAGCGCAAUUUGUGAACCUGCUCAAAGAAGCGGUUGCCCCUCAGCGGACGGUGUGAUGCUGACCUCGGGCUCUGGCUCUCACGUGGCAGCAGCGCUGCAGAGCCCGUCCCGGCCCGCCCCGUCCCGCUGUGGCGGCAGUGCCCUCUGUUCGUACACGGCACAGCGCGGCGGGCUGCCGGAACAACCUCCGGCGGUGCCUUGUUUCUCCUUAUGGCUGUUCCCCCGCCUCCAGGUCCGUUCAGCCCUUCAGUUUCCUCCUGGUUAACGUCUUGAUGCCGAGAGAGGUGCUAACAGCCCUGCCUGAAUGAGUGACCCUGCUGUGCCGUGCUCUCAAGUGGUAUUUCCAGCCCCCAGACAUGGGCAAAUCAAGGUAUCAACGAAUGGGUGAAGGCCUCCCACAUAAGGAUGUGGAUCCAAAUGCAAUCACACCUCAAGAUGUGCUCCUGCUAUUGUCAGUCUCUGGGAGGCUGACCACCUCCUGGGGAGUGCCAGUAAGUACCACAGCACCUCUGCUUCCUGCUCAGCUGUUAAUAACGACUGUGCAGCUGAUGGCUCUUGUCUGUGUUCGGCUGGCAGGCAUGGUACCACCAAACUUGAGCUCACUUGUCACAAUGGCAAUUGAGUUGGAAUUUAAUUAUCUGCUGGAGAGAAGCCCUGACAGCUGUGGCGUAGGUUUUUCACUGUAG
rnacentral:lncRNA from 1 species